AUGAUGAAACUGGAUGAUACUGAUGAUGAUGAAGAAUUGGAGGAUAUAGGCAACAGCCAAGCCAUUGAAGAAGAGGUAACUAUAAUCUCCUCCGACUCAGAGCCUUUGCCGAGGUUGAAAAUCCGAAGAGUAACCCGGAAAGUAAGAUUUUCACAUCCUUUAGCUUACCAAGAUCCUCAAUUUCGUUUGAAGCGACAGAUUUAUGAGAGCCGGAGGCAGACCCGGACCAGCAAAGACGCGGAACUCUCCUCCGGCUUACCUGAUGUGUCCAGGAAGCGCCAGGCUGAGGUUUUCUCCGAUUUACACCUUCUUUUUCCUUUGGCGGGUUUCAUUCGUCAGCCUCUCAAUUCCUCUGACUCCAAAUAUCAGGAUACUCCACCUUCCUCCGGUGAGUCUAUGCAGUCCAACAUGCCGGCCUUCAAAACUGCUCCCGGGUAA
rnacentral:rRNA from 1 species